UACGGAGGAUGCGAGCGUUAUCCGGAUUUAUUGGGUUUAAAGGGUGCGCAGGCGGCAUGUCAAGUCAGCGGUAAAAUGUCGGGGCUCAACCCCGGCCGGCCGUUGAAACUGGCGGACUUGAGUGGGCGAGAAGUAUGCGGAAUGCGUGGUGUAGCGGUGAAAUGCAUAGAUAUCACGAAGAACUCCGAUUGCGAAGGCAGCGUACCGGCUCCAUACUGACGCUGAGGCACGAAAGCGUGGGGAUCGAA
rnacentral:rRNA from 1 species